UGGGGAAUAUUGCACAAUGGGCGCAAGCCUGAUGCAGCAAUGCCGCGUGAGUGAAGACGGCCUUAGGGUUGUAAAACUCUUUCGCUAGGGAAGAUAAUGACGGUAGCCGGAGAAGAAGCCCCGGCUAACUCCGUGCCAGCAGCCGCGGUAAUACGGAGGGGGCAAGCGUUAUUCGGAUUUAUUGGGCGUAAAGGGCGCGUAGGCGGCCUGAUAAGUCAGAGGUGAAAGCCCUCGGCUCAACCGAGGAAAUGCCUCUGAAAACUGUCUGGCUCGAGGCUGGGAGAGGACAGCGGAAUUCCUGGUGUAGCGGUGAAAUGCGUAGAUAUCAGGAGGAACACCCGUGGCGAAGGCGGCUGUCUGGACCAGUUCUGACGCUGAGGCGCGAAAGCGUGGGGAGCAAACAGGAUUAGAUACCCUGGUAGUCCACGCCGUAAACGAUGAGUGCUAGUCGUCGGCAGGCAUGCCUGUCGGUGACGCAGCUAACGCAUUAAGCACUCCGCCUGGGGAGU
rnacentral:rRNA from 1 species